GACUAUACUUCAGAGUUUGAUCCUGGCUCAGGACGAACGCUGGCGGCGUGCCUAAUACAUGCAAGUCGAGCGAAGAGUUAAUGGUGCUUGCACCAAUAACACUUAGCGGCGAACGGGUGAGUAACACGUACUCAACGUACCCUUCAGUUUGGCAUAGCGGUUGGAAACAACCGAUAAUUCCAAAUACUCGUAGAUGCCGCACGGCAUUUACGGAAAAGACGCCUUAAAGCGUCGCUGGAGGAGCGGGGUGCGCAACAUUAGCUAGUUGGUGAGGUAACGGCCCACCAAGGCGAUGAUGUUUAGCGGGGUUGAGAGACUGAUCCGCCACACUGGGACUGAGAUACGGCCCAG
rnacentral:rRNA from 1 species